CAGAAUUGAAAAGUAGUCUUAGAAAUAAUCAAAUCCACGCACCCCUAGCCCCCCGCCCCCCAACACACCCUUCACAGUGGAGGGAAGUGAGCCUCAAAGAGAGAGAACUCUCCACCAUCACCCAGGGAAGAGCCAAGGGUGCAACCCAGAGCUCCAAAAUCCCCAUUUCCCAUCAUUUUUAAGUUCCUUGCCCAGUUCCACUCCAAAGAGUGGGUUCUCUCCUCCAGCUUUCAGAUGGCAGUCAAAAAUGUUCUCCCUCUCUGGGCACACCUUGAGGACUCAGUAGAGAAUAUUUGGUGCUCAGUGAAGUGACUUACUAAGCUACAGAGUUAAAUUCCCACCACCCUGGCUUUUGCCCAGAGCGCCUGAGGAGCUUGGAGGAGCAAGGAGAGGCCCUACACUCCUUUGUCCCCCUUCCCUGACCACCUUAAGGGCUUCCAGAGGUUGGAGGGCUUAGAAUUGUUGGAGGGAAUACCCAGUCCCACCUAGGGUGACUUCAUUGCACCCAGAAUAGAACUGCCUGCUUUGAACCUCCAUCUCCUUCCCUCCCUUGCACACCCCCAAAUUGCCCAAAGCCCAGUUUUAGCUAGUUAGGAAUUGGGCGGUUUGAAUAUUGCCUCUCCAUUUAGAAUGAGAACUUCUUUCAGGCAGAGACUGUUUUUCACCUUUAUUCACACACCCAGCUAAUAACAUUUUCCAUUUAUAAAGCUCUUUAAGGACUGCAAUGUGCUUUACACGUCCUUUGAAACCCACAACGGCCCAUGGAGGCAGGUGCUAUCAUUAAACCCAUUUUACAGAUGAGAUGACUGAGGCUGAGAGAAAUGAAGUAGCAAGUAAGAGGCAGAGGCAGAAUUCAAAUCCAGUCUUCCCAUUUUCCCAACUCUAAGCUUCACUAAAUAUUUACUUCUUUUGCUAGAGCUCUUUGAGGUUUAAAGAUUUCCAUCCUCACAGAUGCAGGCAGUGCAAUGACCAUGAUCCAUCCCCAUGUUGCAGAUAAGGAAACUGAGGCUUUGAGAAUGUCAGCGCCUUGCCCAAGGUCAGAGAGCUGGGAAUCAUCAGAACCAGCGGAGAUCCCGUUCAUCUUACACCAGAACACAGGGCUCCUGGUCCAGGGCUCUUUUGACCAUUCCACACUGCGUGUCUGGGAUCAGGGAAGGCUCUCAGGAGGAAAUGGUCCCUUUCAACAAAGAUUGGAAGA
rnacentral:lncRNA from 1 species